CGCAAGCCUGACGGAGCAAUACCGCGUGAGGGAAGAAGGUCUAAUGAUUGUAAACCUCUUUUAUCAGGGAAGAAAAAAAUGACGGUACCUGAAGAAUCAGCAUCGGCUAACUCUGUGCCAGCAGCCGCGGUAAUACAGAGGAUGCAAGCGUUAUCCGGAAUUAUUGGGCGUAAAGCGUCCGCAGGUGGUCUGACAAGUCUGCUGUUAAAGACCAGAGCUUAACUCUGGCAAGGCAGUGGAAACUGACAGACUAGAGGCCGGUAGGGGUAGAGGGAAUUCCCAGUGUAGCGGUGAAAUGCGUAGAGAUUGGGAAGAACACCAGUGGCGAAGGCGCUCUACUGGGCCGGCACUGACACUCAGGGACGAAAGC
rnacentral:rRNA from 1 species